rnacentral:misc_RNA from 1 species
AAUUCAUAUAGCCGACUCCAAAUUGAUAAAGGUUGAGUUGAGUUGUGUUUAAUGUGAAUAUUAUUUUGAUUAAGUAAAAUAAUUAAAAAAAAUAUAGUAGGCCCAUUUAGAUAAUUUGUUGUGCUCAUGAAUGUCUUUCCCUGCUGCAAAGCGUUUCUUACCCCAUCCUCUUGUAUGCUGAGCUAAAUUAUGCAUGAGCAUAAUGUAUUACAUUUUUAUGGAAGGC